rnacentral:misc_RNA from 1 species
CCAAUAACCAUUAUACGAAGCCGCGAGUGAAAGCCUAAUUAAAAAAUAAAACAGUAGUACUUGUGCGCGAGUAUACCCAUGCGCAAACGCACCCCCUCCAGUUUCUUUCAGCGUUCUUUUUACAUGACGCGAACUUUACACGUGAUACCAAAUAUAGCCCCCUCUCUCCUUGUGGUAUUUCAUGAUUUUUUUCCGAACUCCCCCUCCCCCCUUUCGAGACGUGAUUAUAGACGACCACUAAUUAAAACAUUGUAAUCGUCUUAACGCGCGUUUACUUAGACUCAAUGUAUAAAUAAAUGAUUUGUUAAAUUAAAUCAAAAUUAAAAUUUAAUAAACAGAAACCUAGCAGAAGUACAAGAAGGUCAAGCAGUUUUAUCACUUACGUUUGCAAACCCUUUCGGCUAUCACAAAAUGUUACUUUGUGAUCCCAUUUUCUUCAGUUUAAUGAAUUAUAAUCAUGUAUCCAUACCUCAGUAUACGGUUGUCUUAAUACUGUUUUCCUUGUUUAUUUAAAAUGAAAUGAAAAACAAAUAAUUUUUUUAAAUAAGGCAACCUGUAUGAAAACUAUGUUUGCGAGUACGCUGUAAAUAUAAUUUUGAGCAAUUGAAUGUUAGUUUACAAACUGUAAUAUAUAUUUCCAUACAUUCCUACUUAAUUUCGUGUUUAAGUCCAGAAAACAAAGAAGCUUUAAAAAGUUGAUUAGUUUAUAGGAUAAGCUGUAAUAAAAAUAAAUUUAUUAUGUUUACGUAAAAACGACUGAGUUUGGAUGAUUCAAUGUGUUUGUUUUUCCCAAAAUGUAGUUCAAAAUUAAAGUUUAUUGAAAUUGUUAAGUAUUUCACUUUUAUAAAGUAAUAAACACCUGCUUGAUAAAGUUUCUCAACUUUGUGAUAUUAACUUUGUAAUUAAUUGAUACGUUGAAGUACCGGUUAGUUGUGGUGAUAUCGGAAAAAAAAUGUUAGUUUUAAGUUAAUUAUAAUGCCAAUAUUUCUCAUGUAAAUAAAUAAAAAAGUCACCUAGUUCAAUUUAAUAAUUAUAUUUGAUUUUACGAUUUUAUAUUGUUAUUGAAUAAUAUUGAACAAACGUUUAGGAUUAAAACUUUGCAAAUAUAUAUUUGCAUAUGUUUUUAAUGUAGUCUGAACAUGUCUAUACAUGUUCGUAACAUCUACCUUAUCGUUUCAUAUCGUUUAUAUCGGUUCAUAUCGUUUUGAAUAAUUGAAAUUAUAAUCAAUGCGAUCGGCCAUCUGUACCUUAAUAAAUAAGUAUUAUGUCUAAUAUAAAAUAAAGAAAAAAAAAAAAAA